rnacentral:rRNA from 1 species
GAUGAGUCUGCAAACCAUUAGCUAGUUGGUGGGGUAAAAGCUUACCAAGGCGAUGAUGGUUAGCUGGUCUGAGAGGAUGAUCAGCCACACUGGAACUGACACACGGUCCAGACUCCUACGGGAGGCAGCAGUGAGGGAUUUUGCGCAAUGGGCGGAAGCCUGACGCAGCAACGCCGCGUGAGUGAAGAAGGCCUUUGGGUUGUAAAGCUCUGUCGACAGGGAAGAAGUUAAUGUAAUUUAAUAGAUUACGUUAUUGACGGUACCUGAGAAGGAAGCAUCGGCUAACUCCGUGCCAGCAGCCGCGGUAAUACGGGGGAUGCAAGCGUUAUUCGGAAUUAUUGGGCGUAAAGGGCGCGUAGGCGGUUUUAAAAGUCAGGUGUGAAAGCCCGGGGCUUAACCCCGGAAGAGCAUUUGAAACUAUAAGACUUGAGUACGGUAGAGGAAAGCGGAAUUCCUGGUGUAGAGGUGAAAUUCGUAGAUAUCAGGAGGAACACCGGUGGCGAAGGCGGCUUUCUGGGCCUGUACUGACGCUGAGGCGCGAAGGCGUGGGUAGCGAACAGGAUUAGAUACCCUGGUAGUCCAUGCAGUAAA